UACAGAGAGUGCGAACGUUGUUCGGAAUUACUGGGCUUAAAGCGCACGUAGGCGGCGCCACAAGUGCGAGGUGAAAUCCCACGGCUUACCCGUGGAACGGCUUUGCAGACUGUGGUGCUCGAGGAUGGUAGGGGAGAGCGGAACUCCUGGUGGAGCGGUGAAAUGCGUAGAUAUCAGGAGGAACACCAGUGGCGAAGGCGGCUCUCUGGUCCAUUACUGACGCUGAGGUGCGAAAGCCAGGGGAGCAAACGGG
rnacentral:rRNA from 1 species